GGGGAAUAUUGCGCAAUGGGGGAAACCCUGACGCAGCAAUACCGCGUGAGUGAAGAAGGUUUUCGGAUCGUAAAGCUCUGUUAUUGGGGAAGAAAAAAAGACGGUACCCAAGAAGAAAGUCCCGGCUAACUACGUGCCAGCAGCCGCGGUAAUACGUAGGGGACAAGCGUUGUCCGGAUUUACUGGGCGUAAAGGGCACGCAGGCGGUUUUUUAAGUCAGAUGUGAAAGGUACCGGCUCAACCGGUGACAUGCAUUUGAAACUGAAAGACUUGAGUAUUGGAGAGGCAAGUGGAAUUCCUAGUGUAGCGGUGAAAUGCGUAGAUAUUAGGAGGAACACCGGUGGCGAAGGCGGCUUGCUGGACAAAUACUGACGCUGAGGUGCGAAAGCGUGGGGAGCAAACA
rnacentral:rRNA from 1 species